GGUUAAGCGACUAAGCGUACACGGUGGAUGCCCUGGCAGUCAGAGGCGAUGAAGGACGUGCUAAUCUGCGAUAAGCGUCGGUGAGGUGAUAUGAACCGUUAUAACCGGCGAUUUCCGAAUGGGGAAACCCAGUGUGAUUCGUCACACUAUCAUUAACUGAAUC
rnacentral:rRNA from 1 species